AUGAAAGAUUUAUAUAUGUUUUCAAAAUUUAUAGUAGAGAAAUGUCCUCAUGAAUAUAUCUGUCAUUUAACUUUUAUAGAUCAGAUGAUCCCAUCAGAAUCCAAACAAAAGGAUGAAGAAGAAAAUUCUUGGGAUUUAGAGAGUGACCGUGAGACUGUUUCACAGAAGGAUGUGUGUUUACCCAAGGCUACACCUCAAAAAGAAUUCCAUACGAUAAGUGGAAAAUUAGAAGGUAAGAACCAUUUUUUAUUUAAAGAGUCAUUGGACCAAAUAUUUCUCUAAACUGAUGAGGAAGGAUAUCCUCUAAUAGCCAAAGAAAAUUACCUCCUAAAUGCAAAGCACGGAAAAAAAGAGAAGUGAAAAGGUGAUAUGUUAUACAUCUUAUCAGCUCUAGGCAACAGACUAUAUUGAGAGUGCUGAAAAGGAGGUGAAUUAUUAGUUUGAAUUCAAGAUAUUCCAAGACCUGAGGAAAAUGAGAAAGUAAGAAAGAAGAAAGUAGUAAAAGAGGAAAUGAAGACUGAGAAAGACAGAGCGUACAGAGAGUAUAUGAAGGAACAAGAAACAGGUUUAUGUAAUGGAGGAUGAUAAAAUAAAGUGAUUCUUUACGAGAAGAUCGGGUAAUGUUAGAAACUGGGAAGAAUAUAAAUUGAACUUCUCGUACAAAAGUUUAGCAGAGAAUUACAGCAAAGGAAUUCUGACACUUCCUGUCUUUCUCACUGGUGGGAAGCCAUUAGGGAUGGAAACACCUGACCAUGGAGAGCUGUGUUCUAUAUGCAGUAGGUGAGACUAAGCAUAUAUGCACGGCCACACAUGUAUAUAAUUUGUCAUAUACACUUUGUAUAGACCAGAAGUUUUCAUAGAAAAUCAGCUGAAAACCUUGUUAGCAAUUCACACUGUGAUUCAGCCAACUUGGGAUUCUGCAUUUUUCAUAAGUUCUCUGGCGAUGCU
rnacentral:lncRNA from 10 species